AUGAGUGAAAAUCUUAGCAUUACUACUUUCUUAUGAAUUCCAUAAUAUCACGCAGGACUCACAUAAGUGCUUCUUGAGUUUAGUUCCUUUCACAUUUUGUUGUUCCUUCUUGGAAGUGUUAAAAACAUCAUCAGUAGUAUUUGACGUGACUUGAAGACAAAAUAUACGAUACACUACAUUUUUGUAGGAAGAAACGUGCUGAAAGCUCUCAUUUAUUAAAGGUGAUUUAUCAUUUUUGUAUCAUUAUUUUUGAUUAUAGAAGGACAUGGAAAUUGUCAAUUUGCAUAUAAUUUUGUUUGAAGGAAAA
rnacentral:lncRNA from 1 species